rnacentral:lncRNA from 1 species
AUACGAGCUAAUGAAUAGACCUGCGAUCCCAUAGAAAGACAUCAUGAUCCCUUGUGGAAAAAAAAUGAUUUGCUGAGAUGUAAAUACGGGUAUCAAAUUCCUACCAAGAUAACUGGAAGUUCCAACCACUAAGAAUCCUAGUGAACCUAAAAAAAAAAAAAGGAUAUAAACCUAUUAAAAUUACUCGUUUUUCGAGACCCCGUUAUAAGUUCUAUCCAUAUAUGUUUCGAUCGUCAAUUCAUACUAUACUAGAUCCAGUUACAUUCGAUUAGAAUUGAACGAAUAACCCAAAUAAAUUUGACUUUACCUUUCUUGAUCCCGAAGUAACUUUCAUCAACUAGCACUAUUCUGAUGUGAAACAUUAGGAAAGUAGUUGAUUAGAUACAUUGACUUUCUAUUUAAAAUAUUCACUAAUCCAUUUUGAACCAGCUAUAUUCACAUAUACAUGCAUUUAUGCAGAUAUCAUAUAUCGGAAAGAGCCACAUAUCAUACCAUAUUACACGAGAUAAAUAUCUGUAUUAUCAUCCAGUGUUGAAAUAAAUUGAUAAGAUUCGAUACUAUUGGGUCUAUAAAAUCUUAUUUUUUUGGACACGAAGAAAUAAGGAAACCAUCGAAAUUACCGGAAAUAUUAGGCCCACUAAAAGCACAAAAAUAGAGGGUAAGUCGGGAUUUGAUUAUUUUGGGCGUCCUCGACCGAACACAAGCUUUCCCUUCGUGGCCAUAAAAGCCUUUGGAUAGAGAGAGAGAGAGAGAGAGAGAGAGAGAGAGAGAGAGAGAGAGAAUGGCGGUGGCAAAAGGGGAGAUGGAGGCGACGGCAUGGGGGAGGAUUCCAUAAAAUGGUGUCGCCAACCAGGACGCAUCUUCGGCGAGAUUCAACACCUCUGCUGUUGCCGCAUAUAACAAGGCCCGAGGCCGCAGAUUUCGGCCGCACUAAUCACACGCACGUUCAUAUACCCACCCCUACGUUCGGCCCCCUCGUUCACCGCCUGUCAUGGUCGAAUGCCACUCGUUGCGCUGCUGUGGAGACAUGUUCGCACCGCCAACGACGAAGCUAGGGUUCCGCCACGCCGUGGUUCCUGUCGGGAGAUGGGGCGGGCGACGGAGCGGCCGGCUGGAAUUGUCGGGUUUGAGACCUUCGUUACUUCGGAUCCAGGCGGCCUUGCCAGGACAGGAGUCGUCGCCCGAGUCGGCGAAGCGGUGCUGUGAUUCCUCUGCUCCAGGUGCCACUCUCAUCCCCACGGUAAUAGAUCGUUCGUUCCCUGUUGUGUCUCCUCGGAGGGCUACCUACGGAAUCUAAAGCCCAAAAUGACACCUUUUUCUUGUGGGCAGAUGCUACGAACGCCCCUCUGCGUAAUUAUCGCGAGCGGCGCUUCACUUAUUGAAGCUUUUGUUUGUGAUUUUUGAUUUAUUUUGUAGUUAUAUAGGCUGCCGGGGUGGUAGCAUGGGGCGGUUCUCCGCCAAAAAUGUUGUCGGCGACCCUUGUUGUCGUCUUGUACGUCAUCCAAUUUGGCAAUUGUCAACGAAGGUAAGAAUGUUCAGGUCGGUUGAUUGUGGACUUGAGGAAUCUUUGAAUUCCAAAGGUAAUAAAUUUGACUGAGAGACUAGAGUUCAUACGAUGAUGUCCUAGGAAAUAAAACUUCAGUUGUUAUGGUGUGGGGCAAAAUCAAUUAGAAAGAUUGCUGGAAAUCGUAAGAUACAUUACGUAAGUGUCUAUGAAAGUUGGUAUUUUUUUACUGGAGUAAAGUUUUCUUGGAAAUUUAUGUGCUUUGAAAUGUUAAAAAUCUGAUUUUUCUGAGUUAAAUUGCCUGAACGAUUAAUGUUUUGUCGGAAAGGCAUGAAAGUUCUCAUGAGUAUGACAGCGUGAUGGAUCAUUAUAUUGGAAACUUGUUUUUGUGACUAGCUUCUGCACUUUGUAGAAAGAUUGAACUUUUUUGGAGUUCUAUAUAUUCUUGAUUCAGAUUGUUGUUAAGUUUAAUUCUGAAACUGACUAUUGGUUCAAGCUACCUUAGACUACCUUUGAUGUAUGUAUAGGUAGAUACCUUGUUCUGAGGUCAGCUGUUACAGGAUAAAUAAAACUUGGUUCUUACUAGAUUUUUGUUUGUUAACAUAGGAACAUCCAGCUAUGUGUUGUCCACUGUUGGAAAUUCAACAAACAUCUUAUGGCAUGAAUGUCCAGUUGGAAAACUUGAAAGGCAGAAGUUAUUGAGCCAAAAGGGAUGUGUCAUAUGGAUCACAGGUCUCAGUGGUUCAGGUUUGUCUUAAUGCUCUAAAUCACUUUUUGCAUUUUGUAAAUAGCUUUUGGAGAUGGUAUUUUACCAACGUGAUUGUGCCUGCUUUGGAUAAUGCUUCUUGUUCAAGAUGUGCUCUGUGUAUCUAUCUUAACUUUAGUUUUGUUGCAUACAUUUUCUCUAAGUUUCCUUAUGUUCAAUUCUCAUUCAAGUGACAGAUUAGCAUACCUUCAUAUGUAAUAUAUUUUUCAUAUAGCUAUUCAGACCUUAAAUUCUGAUCCAAUUAUACUUUGCUGGUGUUUUCCAUCUCCGAUUACAGGAUAUUGCUAGAAUGUAGUCUGAUCACACCUCUAACACAAUCCGACACAUUAAAUAAAUAUUAGCAUUAGAUCAUGUUGAUCACUAUAUUAUAUAUACAUAAAGAUUAAAUCAUGACUGCAAAUUCUAUACCUUUAAUAAUGCUAAGAUGUGGUAAUCUAGCAACAAAAUAUCAAAUUGACAUUCAUUCUGUAGCAUGAUAUUUCCAUUGUAAAUGGUGUUUGAAACCUUUUUAAGAAUAAGGAUCCCUUUUGAGGUUAUAUGAUAGCAGUCCUUAGUCCUUACUGCUCAUUAUGUAAACAAAGGCAGUCCUUUUACUCAUGUUUAAUCUUUGUCACAACCAACUAAACAUAAUUGAGUCCAAGUUAGAUGCUAACGAGUCAGGAAAUAUGCUUUGAUAUUAAAGCAUCUAUGUGUUGUUAUCCACAUCUACCAUGAAUUUGUCAAGUGCAGUUUUUAAGCAAGUCCACACCAAAAAUUUUAAUCAUCCUGUAUGCUAGGAGAAACAAACUAUUAUGAGCCAUCCUGUAUGCUUUAUACUGCGUAGGUUAAUAGACUAAUUAGUCUACUAGAUACAAUGCUACCUUAUUACUAAUAAUUUUCAAAUUCUGUUGUAGUAGCUAAAAGAAGAGAUGUGUUUGGUUCCUAUGUAGUGCAAUGUCACCAGCGACGUUUUUGCCAUUAUAGCUCUUUUAGUAUAGGUGCAGUUUUGUUAGCUUUUACUUGUUCUAUAUUAUAUUUAAGCAAUCCCUCAAAAUAGAGCUAGUCAUUUACUUUCCCCUUUACAGUCCACUGAAUUUGGCAUAUAAAUUCUAUAGAGCAUAUCAGUUAAAAGUAAUAUCAGGGUACAAUGCAUUUGUUUCAAGAUUUUGAAAUUAUCUUGCUUGUGGGUCAGAUGUUGGACUGUUCUUAUAUCUUGCACCUGUUUCUAUGUCAAUGUAUCUUUUGCUUACGGGCAAAGAUGACUACACUCUCUUAGAAUCUGUAUUGUGUAUUAACUGUGUAUUCAUGUUCUAGGUAAAAGCACUCUUGCAUGUGCUUUGAGUCGAGAGUUGCACUACAGAGGUCAUCUUACUUACAUCCUUGAUGGUGACAAUGUUAGACAUGGCCUGAAUCGAGAUCUUAGUUUCAACGGAGAAGAUCGUGCCGAAAACAUACGCAGAGUUGGUAAGUUUCAUUGAAUAUUUUCUUUAUCAUUAAAAUCAGUGAUAACAAGUUUGUCCAUUUAAAUCAUUUGGCUUGCUUAAGCUAGUUGCUCCUGGUUUUUCUCAGUGGAUUAUGUUUUCUGUGUUUCAUUUUGUCUAUUCGAAGCACCUGAUAUGCUUCUUAUUCAACCAAAACAUAACAUUCACUCCUGUGGGAUUCUAAAAUAUGAUUUGACAGGAGAAGUAGCAAAACUAUUUGCGGAUGCUGGUCUCAUUUGUAUAGCUAGUUUAAUCUCUCCAUAUAAGAAGGAAAGAGAUGCCUGCCGUGCAAUGCUAUCAGAUUCUUCAUUUAUUGAGGUUAUUGCUCCUUUGUGGUGACUUGAACACCAAGUAUAUGAUGAUAGCUGGCUUUGUUGUCUAACAAUACCAAGUUAUUCAGGUUUUUCUUAAUAUACCUUUGGAGGUCUGUGAGGCAAGAGAUCCAAAAGGUUUAUACAAGCUUGCACGAGCAGGAAAAAUAAAAGGUACACUCACAUUUGUUAGGAUUUAUGUAUACGUAGACAUAUUGCAUAAUGCCUAGACCUGAAAUAAACACUUUGAAGAAAAUACACUUUAUUGUUCAUAAUUAGAGAAUCCUUUUGACUUUGCUUGCAGGCUUUACUGGGGUAGACGAUCCAUAUGAAUCACCCUUGGAUUGUGAGGUAAGUGUUGGUCAUUAUAUAUUAAUUCGAGAUGUUUUGUUGUAUUCUAAUACAUGUCUAAAUUUUCAUGUUAUAUACUUUGGUGUUAUAUAUGGUAUUAUCUUCUCCAACCCUUAUAUACAACUAGCAAAAUUGCAUCAAUUAUUGGGUUGUUUUUUCAUAUUUAAUUGGAAGAAUUUGGCUGUACUUAUAUUGAUUGGGAUGCUGAUGAGAGUUUGACAGUAUCUUAUUGAACCUGCUGGAGUUUCAAUAAAUCAACAAUUGAUCUAAGAAACUUUGAUUAUGAUAUGUGAAACAUAAUGAGUGUUUUACUUUUUUUUUUUCCUUCAAUUGCUGGAGUGUUUUUAAAUUGAACCGUGACAAGUGAUUGGUCACAUGCUAUUUUUUCAAUUCUUUUGGCUCAUUAUAUUAGUGGUGUUCAUGGUGUGUCUAGUCUUGAUACAAUGAAUCAUGAAAUAUUUGCAUACUUUUAGUAGGAUAGGAGAUCAACUAAUCGGGGCAUCUUCAAUUGGCAUUAUUCAUGCGAUCUUCAUGUGAUUAUAUUUCAUUCUAAACCAGCUUGAUCAGUUGAAACUUAUCCUGUGAUGACUCACCUACUGUGUUUCUUUAUGACCUUGAUCACAUGAUACCAUUCCCUUCCCUUUUCAUCAUUCAUUUGCUUAGUAUUUGGAAAUUCUAUUUGGUAGAAGCGACAAGCAGCAUCAAAUUUUGUCUUCUGCCUUUGAUACUAAUUCAUAACCUAACCUGUUUUCCUGUAGAUUUUAUCAGCAUAAAGUUGUGACUGCAGCUUUGUUGAGAUUUAAAGUUAUUUAUUCAUUCGAUAUGACUCUGAUAUUGGCCUCUUGCUCGUUUGUUUCUUGCCCUAACUGGUUGUCUCAGAUAGUAAUACAACAGAUCUGAUAUUGGCCUCUUACUCGUUUGUUUCUUGCCCUAACUGGUUGUCUCAGAUAGUAAUACAACAGAACGAUGGCAAGUGUCCUACUCCAAAAGCUAUGGCUGAGCAAAUCAUUUCGUUCCUCGACAACAAUGGGUUUCUGCAGGCUUAAUGUGACCUGCUGUGUCCACAACUCGUGGACCGAGCGAGAUGUCAAAAUAAUUGCUUGUCUGUAGAUGAUCUCUCUGUCGCAUUCUGAUGUACAAGCACAGGUCAUAAAGUCAGAUUAUUUUGUAGUUAUGAUUAACAAAGAAUUAUUUCUAAUGUUAGAGCACUUUGGAUUAUUACUGACCCAUCGAGCAUCUUUAUUCAGAUAGGUGAAUGCAUUAUUACCUCAGUGGUAGGUCUCGUAUUUGAGAUCGCCUAUGAUCAUCAUGUAAACACUAUUCAUUAUGUUCUCCAAAUUUAUGGAAGUAAUGUUGCCAUAUUCCAAUGUUAUUCUAAUGCAGCAGUGUAAAAGGCCUCCACAUAAUCAUAACAUUGCUGCCUCACUGUUUAAGUAGAAAGAUAUCCAACUAAUAGGUUGAUGAUCCAUAGUGUACCCAAUGCAUGUGAAGAUGGAAAUGACCAGCCAUCGUCAUCGUCUCAUCAAACUUGCUCUGUUUGGUUGAGUCAUCAACAUCAGCAUAUUCCAAAAAUACCACUAGCAAGAAACAAAGCAGCAGUCCAAAGUCAACAGCAGAAACUACAUUUUUUGUCAACACAGGAUCCUGAGCUCUGAUAUCAUGUUAAAUUUGUUUUCAUCAAAUUCAUCAUCACUUUAGAAACUUCCAUGUCUCAACAAUUCAUACAAUUAUAUGAGUGCGGCUAUGCAUGCUUCAAUCAGCACGCAAAUGCACAACUGUGAGAAUGAACGUGUCAAAGAAAAGGUUGGAGGUCUCUCACCAUCGAGGACUGUGUUUAUCAGAUUUUGAACAAGAAAAAUCAACAACAUAAGUAUGGAUGUGAAUAAGCAUUAGACAUUAGCUACUCGUAUACAUAAAAUACACACAGUCUACCUAUUCAGAUUCAAAGAAAUCACUAAUCUGGCAGGAAAAUAAUAAUAUGGUUGCAUCCAAAUUCCAAACUCCAUACAAUAUCUACACCCCCCUGAAAAGAGUAUCAGCAAAAAUUCUAAUUCUGUGACGGAACGAGUUCUGGAGAUGUGAGAGCCAAACAGAAUAUGGUCCAUAUAGUGCCUUCUGAGAGUCUGGAGAACAAGUGUCUCGGACACCAGUAACUUUUCUUGAUGAUAGAAAAGCCUAUCUAGAGAUACUCAAAACCAUGUGAGUCAGGCUAUCGACUCACAUGUAAUGCAGCAAACCUACCAUUCUUUGUUUAGUAGAGGACACGAGCAAAAGAAUAGCAGGAAUCAGCUACAUCUAGCAUUGCUGCCCUAAAGUUCUAUUCACUAAACCAUAUUUUCAUUGUUCGGUAGACAACUAAUAGGUUGGUCCACAUUGUUCCCAAUUUACGUCUGAUAUGAUAAGAGGAUAAAAGGUAACUACCCAUCGUAUUCUCCUUGAGCAAACUUGCUCUCAGGGUAAAAAGUUGCGACAACUUGAUUUCCUCCAAAUUUUCUACCAUUUAAUGCCUGCCUAGCCUUAUUAGAGCCAUCAACAUCAGCAUACUCCAAAAAUACCUACAAGAAACAAUGAAGUCGAAUGUCAACAGUCUAUAUAUAUUGCAGGGCUAUGUAGAAAUCAAAAUACCAGAAAAAGGCGAUGAGUACUAAAACGGACUAGCGGGACUAGAGACUAUGCAACAAUGAUGAGAACAAGCUUUCAUGCCCUUCAAAGUCUAUUUUCAUGUAUACACAAAUAACUUUGACCCAAUGCAAUCUCUACUAACCUUUCCAACUCCAGGGGCUGGCUCUCCGUUGGGUCCAGGUCGAGGAAUUACAACAUUCACCAGGUUACCUGCAAACCCAAAUAUAAUAAGUUCCCAGGAAGAAAAAGAAGAAUCUAACAGAUCAAACUCGGCCCCAACCCCAUAUCAUUCAGCAUAAAUGGUAGGCAAUAUAAAUACCAUAUGACAUAAAAGCAUGCACUGUAAGUUUUAAAACCUACCAUAUUUUCCACCUUCUCCCCUCAUAUCUUCCAUUAUGUCUUCAUACUCCUCAUCAUCUUUCAGCUCAUCUGCACUGACAACCUGGGUUAAACAUACCACCUUGGUAGAAAGGGAUCCCACCUGGUAUACAAGCUUCUGCAUCCAAAAUAUUAAUAUGAAAUGAAAGGUGAAGAUGUUAUUUCCCAAGCUCAAAGUUUUUCUAGCAUUAGAGAAAAGAAGACAUCAGAAACAUGCCAAUUAAUAAAAUAACUUCAAGAAGAACUUAAAUUGCUAAUGGCAACUAUAAUGACUGCAUACAUUGUUGAAUAAAGUAAUUUAGAAAGAUGAUUAGUCAAUGAAAAAUCAUGAAGCCUACCUAAAAAUAGUUGAGAGGUUUGAUGGCUGAACAAGGAGCAUCUAAGGAUACAUAUUUUGAUAAUCAUCAGAACAUGCAACUGCCUGCCACUUAAACCACUUCAAACCACGGUUCCAAAACUCAGAAACAACACUAAAGUUAGUUGAGCUAGUUGAUUGGAGAACUUUAAUCAUUAGUUUUUCAUAAACUGAAAUAUGUAUGGCCUAUUACAAUACCUAGGCUCAAAUAACUUGAUGAAUCAGAGCUUGUUUUACAAAGAUUUUAGAAUCACUCAUUUGAAAAACAAUAAACACAAUUUCGAUCAGAGCAUAAUCCAAAUCAAAAAUAGGUAUUAUAAUAAUAGCAUCUCUCACGUCCUUGUGGUCUACCAUAUGAUGUCCAUUGCACAAUUCCAUGAUAAGAUGCCAAGUGAACCAUAUGCUUAAGCCUACCCAUAGCGGGUCCACCUUAAAAAUGUCCACAAAUCCAUGAGAAGACGCUAAGUAAGCCAAGGGCUGAAGCCUACCAAUAGUCUUCAUAUUUUUCCUCCCAAUCAACUUUGCCACCCCCCUUUUGUUCCAUCAGUUUCUAGUGAGCAGGUUCGAAGUUUCAUCUCCCCGCCAUUGAUACAGCGUCAACUUCUCUGCCUAUAGCAACCGUCCAUGCUCUACCCAAUAUUCAUGACCAUGCCCUCAAAAUCACUAACUCUGACCAAGUACAUGCAAAGUUGACUAUCCUAAAACAAGAACUCAAUAGAGAUGAUAUGGGCCGAAUGAACAAAUGAUUUGACUCAAACUCAACCAACUCCAGUAUUAUGGUCGAGUUUAACACACAUGCUUCAAAGACGAGCAUGUAUCUUGUUGCAAUCUGUAUGUUAUGAAGCACCUCAAGGACAACUCAGGCUAAAUCAGCGAAACAAAUGACAUGGGUUGAGUGAACAAAUGAUUUGACUCAAACUCAACCAACUCCAGUAUUAUGGUCGAGUUUGACACAUGCUUCAAAGACAUGCAUGCAUCUUGUUGCAAUCCUUAUGUUAUGAAAAACCUCAAGGACAACUCAGGCUAAAUCAGCCAAACGUAGACCUACUCCAUGCUUAAAACAUCUUGGUAGAAUUUUUGAAGGUUCAGUUUGAGCUAUUUCAACCACUAUGUUAUCCAAGCAAUACUACUUCGGGGUGGAAAUGUAAGCCCAUGGUAUAAGAAUUUAAGGUACUUCAUUUUUUUCCACUUUUUGCAAGGCAUAGAAAUGGGCACCAAGUUAUCCAAACAGCAAAAAAACAACACACAAAUGACAAAUAAUUUCUGUUGUAUCAGCAUGAAUGUUGCAUGUGAUCUAAUAAUAGAACAAAUAUUUUGGUAAAUGGUAAAUGCUGUCACCUAUGAGAUACUGGCACAACUUCUCACCCUUUCUAGAUUUCUUAUAAUCUUCAAUUAGUUAAGUUGCUUUUAAAAGCAUCAAUCUAAAAGAAAGAACCUAUUAGACAACAGUAAGUUCCAAAAAUAACAUGAGUAGUAAAAUUUUGAAUGGUAAAAAUCAAAAGACAGAGCUCAUUGUUUUCUGUAGGAAAUUGGCUAUUAAAUUUAAGAUUAAUCAACUUCAAUUUAAAAAAACAAAAUUUGGGUCCAUAUGUAUUUCGUUUAAUUUGCUUUUUACCUGCAAUGCUACCUGUUGCUGUGCCUGCAAAAGCACACUUUCUUGCUCAGGUCUCGGCUGGGUUGCACCCUGGUUUGCACGUCUGACAGUAAGGGUUUUAUCACCCAUCUUGAUUCCAUUGAGAGCUGCACAUGCAAUGUCCGUGACAGAGAGAUCUUGGUAGACACAGAAUGCAUAACCUUUGGAGUUUCCAGUUUCCCUGUCCUUGACAAGAUCAAAACCUCGAAGGGGUCCAAAGGACUCAAGCAACUCCCUGACUUGUGCUUCAGUAAAAUAGUAUGGCAGACCACCAACAAAGAUGCGAUCAGGACCCUCAAGUCCACCAGCAGAACCUGGUGUCAGACCAACUGCAGAAAGAUUAAGAUUGGGGUUUGGCUGGCUUGGGCCAAGUGCAGCAGCAAGAGAAGGAUUGUAAUCACUUGGCCUUCUGACUUUCACUGGUGCUCCCUAAAGAAAAAACACAGCAACAAAUCUCCAGCUUAGAAACAUUCUAGCAAUUUGUGCUCAUUAAGAAUAUAUCAACAGUAUAAAUUUAAUCCAAUCUGAAAACUUCCAACCUCAAAUAUGAUUCCAUCCAAGGCCAUUGCAUUGCUUGCUUCUUCAACAGACCUCAUUUCCACAAAUGCAAAUUUUUUUUCAUGGUUUAUAUAUACAUUAACAACCGCAUCACCUUCAAUUGCAACAAAGAACAAAAAACCAAAGCAAAAUAAAAGGAGUCAAUAAACUUUUAAAAGAAAAACUAAAAUUUCUUAAGUUAUCAACUGCUUCUUAAGGACCAACCUGGACCGGCUGUAUUUCCUCCAAUAACAGACAUGACCUGGCUAAAGAAAGUUGCAACAGACUGCAGACAUUUGUUAAUGAUACAAGGGAAUCAUCAGAAUCAAAACAUGAAAUGACUUUCAUUAAUGCUUUAUCAAACUUAAUAUUUGAUAUUAUGUUCAUACUAGAAAGAAUCAUGAUGCAAAAAAAAAAUCACGAUAAUUAAGCAAAAGCUUCAUAAGAGUAUGGCUUCAACAUAAUGAGGAAUACAGAAGACUUCAAACACAUCAUAUACAAAAAUCACUAGGCAAAAAACAUAUAAUAUCACAUUAAAAACAGACAAAUCCCAAUAACACAUGAGAAUUGAAAACUCGAGCAAAUUAGGGUCACUAAAGUCAAUUGCCUAAAUUCUCCAAGGACAGACAAGCCACCCCCAGAACAAUCACAAUUUUUUCCUUUGGAAGAGAAUGCAAACAAAAAAGGAAAAAGAAAAGAAAAGACUGCAACAAUAGUGGCUUUGGGUCCAACAAGUUUGCAUGUUCAUGAUGAAUUAUCAUGAAAAAGUUUUUCUUCACCAGACCUCUGAGUUGAAUUCCCAUGGCCUUUGGCUUACCAAAAGCCUUCCACCCUUUUUUUUUCUUUACUCUCACAAAGCAGAGGAAAAAACAAAUUCGCCCUUGCACACAUAUUCAUGACCAGCUAGCACCUACAGUUUAGAUUCCAUAUAAAGGUUCAUUUUGUGCAGUUGCAUAGGAUGUAACAACUGUGUCACAGAUGCCCAGUAUUUCUAAGAUUCCAUUUUGGAAUAAUUGUAAAAAUAAUUUGGUUGACUUUUUAAUGGGUUAAAAUUAAAUUCCAUGGCAUAUAGAAUGAUGUCCUUGACCAGAAAAUAGAUCAAUUGAUGAGCUAUAGAACAAAAAGUGGACCAGAAAUACUUAUAAUAUUGUAGGUGAUGAUGUUUCCCUGAAUUCAUGUUUCUGAAAACAAUGACUAUUACAUAAAGGAAUAACAAUCUCAAAGAAACAUAUUGAGAACACAGAUUUAAGAUGUGCAUAUUAAAAAAACGGUGAUAAUAAUAAUUAAAGCAAAUGAGCAAGUAGACCUGCUCAUUAGCAGUAGGGGGAAGACCACCAACAUACACCCGUCGAGCAUGCCGAGUAGCCUACAGUACCAAUGCUUACAUUAAAUAUGUCGGAAAACUUCAUCCGAGAAUAAAAAUUUGCUAAUUAUCACACCUGCUGAGUCAUCGCUUGCACUGGCAUCAUAGGUAUUGUUUGAAACUGCCAAAAGAAAACACAACAAUCAAUAAAAAAAAAAUUAUGGAAAACUCUUGAAAAAAUAUUGCAUCUCAGGAAGAGACAGCAAGAUAAGCAAGAACCUGUCCAGUUGCCAUAGGGAACAUGUUUGGAAACAUUCCAGGAAUAGCUGGAGUCGUAACUGGCAGCUGACCUGUAUAAACAAACUGAGUUGCAUAACAGCAUUUAACACCAAAUGUACUAGAAUAAGCAGCAGAGAAAUAUAUGCAGCAUCAUUGUUUUAUGCCCUCGCAGACAGGAGAUCUGGUCUGGUUUCUGAAAUAGAAUCCAUCACAAAAGAAAAUAAACUCAUUUUUCAAUUAUUAAAACAAAAUUAAAGACAACUAAAUUAGAAAAAAAUUGCCAGUGGAGAUGAACAAGAACCAUCAAACCAGUGCACUGAUUCCUCCUUGUUCAUAAAGCUACAGGAGUUGGUUGACGCCCAUUGGCAGCACAGUGGGACAAGUGGCCCAAUAUUGCCUUCUUACAAUAACAUAUAUAGACAAAAGAAACAAACAAACACCAAAACAAAAAACAACCAAAAUUGUGCUCAGUUUCAGUAUGAGAUUACAAAGUAAAAUAAGCAAAACAAAACAGCACACAGAUUAUGCUGAAUCUAGCUAUUAUAUUGAAUUUAGCUCCUAAUUUACAUAGAGGGUACUUGCACAUAUGCAUGAACAAAUAAUGCUUACCAAGUAGCACCAUUUUUCUUGGUCCAAUACCUUCAUUCGCUACCAGCUAAUUAACUAUGGAUGAAACAAAAGCCAAGAACUUUUAACUAAAAGAAGAAUAUACCAGCAGAAUUUGCAACAGGUAGCAGGGCAGCUGCAGGUGGAGCCAUGUCAAAGCCACUGAUACGUUUGCUGUUUGUAUAAAAAUCAAAUUCAAAUUUGUUAUCACUGAAAUAUUAUUUAAAAAGAAGGAUAAGGUUAACUUAAGAAGUAAACAUUAUCAUAAAGAAUACAUACACACAAACAUACAACAAGAAGCUGUACCAACUAUUCAGGCAGGCUAUGUGCAUAUUUUCCCAUGAUUGAGAAGUGAGAACUGUGUAAAACAAUAUUCCUCACCAAAUCAAGAGCAAUUAAAUUUCUUUGUAUCAUUGGUAGAAUUUUUUUCUUAAAAUCUUGUUCAACCUCUUCUCACAUCAUUAAUUUUAAUUAACUCACCUCGUAUAACUGUGGCACUUGUAGAUCUUAUUUGGACAUGUCCAUGUCAUCCUCAACAACUUCAUCUCAUGUUAUAUUUUAUUGGGAUUAUACCUAAUUGUUCACAAAUAAAAAUAUAAAUUAUUCUAUCAUUUCUAGAAACUUUGAAGAUUCAUUUCAAUAUUCUCAUCUCAUCUACACAUUGUUUCUUAACUGUCCAAUACUCCGGUACAUAAAACAUGACUAGCCUUAGUUAUCCUCUUUAAAUAUUAUCGUGAAAAUGCAAAAAAAAAUUAUAAAAUAAAAUCAUAUAACUAUGUUGGUUGAUUUAUGAAUCUCAUCAAAAACUGAAAUAGUAUAAACUCUCCCUACCACCUUCAAGAUAAAACAAUAUUAACACUGAUAGUACAAGAUUUCAUGGACCACCCAUCUUCUCUCAGUUACAUGAUGGUGAAUACAGAUUGAAAUCCCCUAACUCAGCUCAAAACAUGUCUAACUUAAACUUUCAGUAUCCAAUGCCAGUUCUCAAUAAGCUCAUAUAAUGCCAUGAGAUUAAAACAUCUCUAGCCAAUUAGGAACUUAUAAUUUAUCACACAACCCAUUAAUUAGUAACAUACGGAAAUACAAAGCUAAUUGUUAGACCAUUGGGAUCAAAUGGGAAGAGAGGGAAGGCAGACACAAUCUCUAUCAACCACUACAAGAGCUGUCCAUUGCACAUGUCAGAUUAGGUCCAAGCCACGCUCUCAUCUCCUAUCAAGAUAACUUGCAGACAAACAGCCCAGCACCAACCAGAAUAUAGUACUACUUAUCUGAACCACAACUUUAUAGCUGUGGACCCAAUAUUGAAGCUGAAGAAAAGUAUGAGGUAAUUCUCACAAGCCAUUGUUCUUAUUUUUAUUCAGAAUAUUAAUGCAUGAUAUGCUAAAGAUUUAAGUCUACAAUUAUCAAGUUGACAACUUCAUCAAUUGGCUCAUCUAGCUAUUGCAGUAAUACUACAUCUGGAAAAAGGAAUUUGAGCUAUCAGAACUACUUGAGCCAUGUGAAAUGAAGAUUUACAUGUUGUUAAUCACACAAAUAAAUAGCAAUUGCAUUCUACUGGACAAUGUCCCACACAUCUCCUUUGACUCAUGUUCCAAUAACCUACCUACCACCUGAACCAUAAACCUAUUCUAGUUUCUUUAGUAUUGUCUCGAAAAAAUAAUAAGAAAAAUAUCUAAAAGAUCAAUUAAUUCACGAUCUUUGGAGAACAAAACUACUCUAGGCUAGCCUUUGCAAACCUAAAGACUGUAGCUUCAUAAAGCAUACUCUGUGAAACUCAAUUUUUCUAAAUAACAUAAUGGUUACUGCAUAAUGCAACUGCACCGCGUGUUGGUUCUUAUUAGAAUGUUUAAUUUAACAUAUAAUUAAAUAUAAUAAAAAAAUUAAGAUUAAUAAAACAUAGGUAUUUUUUUCUUCUUUUUUCUGUAAAGAGUAAGUGGUGAAGGCAGGAUUCGAGCCUAAAACCUUGCGAUAUUUUGUCAAAACUUUUACCAGCUAACCUAGCUGGCACCUUCAACAUAGGUAAAAUUUAUGCCAAGGCAAAUACCAAGAUUUAAUGAAUGACAAUUAAAAACUAAGUGAUAAGUAUAAGACAUUGGAAAGGAUCAAAGUGACUAAUCAUGUAUUAAAAAUAUAGCGAUACUAAAAUAAUAGUGAUGAGGAAACAUAAGAAAUGAUUUUGCAGUUCAUGUAUGCAUAGGUACAAGGGUCUCCAUAUUCAACAUAUUCAAAUAUGCCAAUAGGUUUUAUGCAAGAUGAUCAUGCAAUAGCAUCAACACAAGGAUGCAUAGAUUGCUCCAAAGUAAAACGAUCUUGAAAAAAAUACAUAAAAAAUGCAUAGAUAAGUCUAUAGAAAAACGAGCUUGAUAAAAAGUAUUAGAAAUAUCAUCUUAGAUAACAACUACUAGUCAAAAUUUGGAAAAUCAUAGCCAGGCUAAACUGGCCAUUGACCCUGAACUUAUCUAUACAGCACUAUAGAGCUUUACUAUGAGUGAAUUGUCAACAUAGUCUUUGUGUCGUUUGAGCUAAACAUUAAGAUAUUACCUUCUUGAAACAUAUCACAAGAAAGUUAUGCCUGCAUAUGAACUAAGAUUAUAAAACUCAAAAUGAUAUACACCUUCUGAAGCAAAUCAUAGUUAUAGCAACCUACAUAGUAGCAAAAUUUUGAAAAUUUCCAUGUACAAGUGGAAUUUGUUCAAUCAAAAAAAAUAUUUGUGGUGCAACAAAACACAACCAGGAAAAAUUAUAAUAACCAUGCAGGGAAAGCAGAAAAAAAAGUCCUAUCAUGUACAUCAACAAGGACAGAGAAUAAAGAAACAUAAGCCAAAGUGUCAGCAUCAUCAAUGAUGUAUAAGUUACCUGUUAGAUCUAGAACGUGAACGAGAUCUUGACCUAUGAUCAGAUCUACCCUUAGACCGAGAACGAGAACGAUGUCGAUGACGCCCAUCCCUAUCCCGAUCCCGAUGGCUGAAAUAAACAUCAAUGAUAGUAUAAGAAAUAUCUAAGCAAUAUGUUAUUAUGUAUUCUUCUGCUAAGCCAAUAUCAAGAGAAAUAUACAAAAAGAUAAUAUCUCUGUGGAUGAGUUCUUGGACAAUGUAUCUUCAUAGAAGAGUCCUAAAAAGAUUGAAAUUAGAUCUGAAAAUAUAGAAAUAUUGAAUUCCAAAUCUGCAUCUACUUGAUGAACUGAUAGCAAUGACUCAAUUUGGUAGAGGAAGAGACCACACAUAAAAUAGGCAACAAAACUGAAGUGGGCUAGAUCACAAUCCAACAAGGAUUUAUAGCAGUAACCACUAAUGAUUUUAAUCUAAGAAAUAGAAGCAGACUCGCUGAAGCUGCAUCAUGGUAGUUCCUUAAUCGAGUCCUUCAAUGACUUUCUAAAGAAGUCAUAGUAGAAAACGAUUCUAGUAAGACAGAGGUAAACCAAAGCCAAAACAUCUUGCAUUCUGAAAUUUACUGAAUGAGAGUAUAAAGAAUAACAGUCUUUCCAAUACAACAAGAAAAAGUCCUUUUGAACAUACUCCUAAUAUGUUUAUGAUGUAACUAGUCAAUGCUUUUUGACUGAAUUAUAUUGAUGUAUUAGCAAGCCAUGCCAAAAAUGACAAACUUAUGACACAAAACCAACAUGAACUAAUAGAAUAGAGUGUCAUCCACAACUACAAGGCAUAAACUUCUAUACCUAUCACGAUCUCGGCUACGGUGCUGAUCAUGAUCCUCGGGUCUAUCUCGUCCAUGUUCCCUCCUUUCACUUCGGUCUUUGUGAUCUCUGUGAUGGCGACCAUGAUCCUUGUCCCUUUCCCGUUCUCUAUCCUUGCCCCGCUCCUUAUCCUUCUCCCUCUCUCUGUUCCUGUCCCUCUCCCUGUUCCUGUCCCUGCCCCUAUCUCUGUUCUUUGAGGACCCUCUCUCGUGUUCAUGAGAAUCAUACUGUCAUAAAGAACAAGAUAUUAAAGCUUCGAGUCACAAGAUACGUUCUAAAAAAAACAUAUGAACAUAUACAACCGAUACCAACAAGUCAAGCAUCGAAUCCAAUGCAAUUAUUUCCGAAGCAAACAAAGCAAAUGAAUAAACCCAGACAAAUCUAACAAGAUCUACAUAUAAUACAAAACACCCACACGAGCCUAACUAAGCUGACUGGAAGAAUCUAAGGAUAAACAAAUUGUUUACUGUAGAUCCUCCCUUGUCAACGGAGAUGGAAGCAUAGCAUGUGAAACCCUAGAAUUUCAAUUUGAUCUCCUCAAGCUCAAAUCUCAAAAAUAGAGAUGACUCCAUAUGUUUUAAGCAAGGCCACUGCAGAAAAUCAGACCCAAUACUGAAUUCGGUAGAACACCCGUCUCUUGUGAUCACGAUCUUAAUGUUCGGGGACCAAGCACGAUGUCGGAAGUAAAGAACGUGCGAGCGAGCGAAAGCAACCUGAGAUCUGGGAUCACCGAGGACGUCGAAGCCGCUGCUCCUCGGCAGAGGGGAUGCCCCGCCGCCGCCGCCGCCACCGCCGUACUCGUUGUACCCAUCGCCGUUGUCCUCGUAUCUCCCGCCGUAAUCCGCCAUAUUCGAGCGCUCCCCUCGAUCUACUUCUGUCCCGAAGGCGUUCGGUCUGUCCUCUCAGCCUCCAAUCGCUCGAUGGAGGAGGUCGCCUUCUAGGGUUUUGCAAGUGCGGAGGCCGUGGGACUGAUUGGCUAACGUUUAAGACGCGGCGAAGGGGCCCUGAACCGGGGUUGGAUUUGAUCAGUUUUUCGAACCGGGCCGGACCGGCCGGUUGACCCGUCAGAAAAAGAAAAUUACGAUCGAAGCCGCUUCAGUUAAUCAGGUCCGCUAUUAAUUAUUAUAUAUUUUGAAUCACUGUAUUCUUUUACAAUAAAUUAGAAAUUUUCCAUAAUUUUUGGUCUUUUAUAUUUCAUAUAUUUUAAUAAAAAUAACAUAUUUUUAUAAUAUAAUUGUUUUUUAUGAAUUUUAAAUAUAAAUUAACGACUAGUUGACUCACCAAUCGAACUAGUACCAGUAAUAUAAGUACUUAUAUGAUUUUUUAUGAAUUUUCGAUUGUACUUAUAUGACUUUAAAUUUAUAAAUAAUUAAUUAUAACUUGUUAAAGUUUUUACUAAUAUUUUUAUGGAUGUUUGAAAAUUGGUUGUGAUUUUAUCAUCAAUAAGGUACCGAAAAGAUUUGUUAUGCAAGUCUCCCAAGAUAAUGGUAUAUAUAUAUAUAAGUUUGGAAGUUUAUUCAAUCAUUUAAUCGAAGAAACUUUCAUUUUUAUUUUCUAGGGUAAAAAAUCCUAAUUACGUGAACAUCCAAAUGCUAUAUAAUCUAUCUAUAAGCUCAUAUACAUACAUACAUACACAUACACAUGCAUACAUAUAUACAUAUACAUAUAUACAUAUAUAUAUACAUAUAUAUAUAUAUAUGUAUAUGCAUACAUGUACAUGUAUAUAUUUACAUGUAUAUGUAUAUAUAUAUAUACAUAUAUACAUAUAUACAUAUAUAUAUAUAUACAUAUAUACAUAUAUAUAUAUAUACAUAUAUAAGUAUAUAUGUAUAUAUAUAUACCUCAUGCAAAAUUUUGGAUGGAGUGUAAUAGAAGAUGAAGGAUAAUUUUGUUCCAAAAUAAAUAAAACUAAAUUAACUUAAUAUAUAAUCUAAUAUAAAUUAAGGUCUGUUGUCUGAAAUGGUGAGGAUCUCAGAACAAAUAUACCUAUUUCAGAGAGGAUACAAUGAAAUAUGAGCUUUCAUACAUGCAAAAUACUCAUGUAAAAUGGACAUAGAUAAAGUACACCUGUUAGGCUUGUAUACGAACUUCUAAGCUUGUAUUCAUGGACAUAGUAGAUAAGGGAAUGCACUGGAAAUAGAUAACAGAAUUAUCCCCGAACAAUAUUUUAUUGUGCAAGAGAUCAGGACACAGGAAGCUAAUCUGCAAUGAUCAAUAAUGUUACAAAGCACAGCAUCAAAGAAAAGUCAGGCACUGAUUCCACUUCCAGGGAACUGAUAAAUACAAAGGGCAUAAUGAUAGGCCAAGGAACAGCUUGUAGAAAGCUAAUCAUUCAUCACUCAUAAGGGAAGUUGUUUAACCCCCGAGAGAAUGAUCUUCGCUUCACCUGCAAAACGGAAGAGCGAUGCAUUUACGAUCAGUCAACAAAUAAACGUUAAGUUUAUAGCAAGGCCUAUGCAUCAUGGAGCUAGGAAUGACUAUGGAUGGCCAAAACAAUAGAACACACCCGGCAGAUAAUGUAGUAAAUCUGAAUGGUGAGUUCAUGUAUACUAGUAAUUUCUAGCAAUAAAUUGAGCGUUACAAUUUACAAGCUCCUUUUGUACUCACUACAAAAGAAUGUAACAAAUACACAAUAAAUACUAUUCCUGUGAUAAGCAUGUCAGAGAAAAUUUAUAAAAACAGGAACAUGUCAAAUGGUAUAUAGAUCAUAUAUAUCCUCAGAUUGGCUUUUCACCAUCUGUAAAGAUAAUUGGAUGUUUUAGAAGCAUACCUGCAAUAUUGUGUAAAAAGAAUUCAGCUGGAACAUUCGUUUCACUCUCAACUGCUGCUUUUGCAACAGCAAUGCCCACUGCGACACUUCGCAUCAUGUCGAAACCAGAGGAAAAGGAUGCAAGGAUUCCAGCAACCAAGCAGUCACCUGCUCCUGUUAAGCUCACCACUGAUGCGUGAAGUGCAGGAAAAUGAAACGCAUAAGACUUGAAACCAAGCUGUCCAGAUAUUGUGGUGCAAUUUUGCUUCAGGGAGCAGCUUUCAUCCACAAAUUCAUGUGACAUCCUCCCAAGACCGUCCAAUUUGCUGCUCUUCAAAUCAUGACUUUUAAACCUUGGCCAUUCUCUAAUACAUAAGAAAACACCAUCUGGGCCAAGAGUCACAACAAGCAGUUUAAUACCUUUGUCGAGCAAAAAACAUAUUGCUGGUUUCAGCAUUUGAAACAGAGAUUCAACAGACUGUCGUUGUCCUUUAGUUGAUUCGCAGUGAAAUUUGAACUGUUUCCUGGAUGAUAGAGCAUUUGCCAUUGCAAUAAGCUCUUUUUCAUUCGGAGAAGCACAAGUUAUCUGCUAAGUCAAUAGAAAAUUUGUGAAGAAAAGUGAACAUGCUAAACUGACUUGGUAAGGCAGCCUAAACGAGUAUCAUCAUGAAAGUAUAUAUAAAUUGUCACAUUCUAUAACUCACAUAAUUCACAACAGUUGCAAUUCUUGUAGACUUUUUCACUGAGACAGGCUCAAACCAUACUGGGAUACCAGCUGCUGCUGCAACUGUAAAAAGCUAAAAGAAAUAGAUUAUGAACUUGGGACAGUAGUACUUGGUUGAUCCCAUUAUUUGAGAUAGAGAAUAUAUGAUUGGUUGAUCCCAUUAUUUAAGAUAGAAAAUAUAAUACUUAAUUAUAGUGCAUAUCUUUAUGAACAUAGGAACAGAGUUCAUCAUUUCGGGUACCGGAUCCGUCUCGGAGAUUUCCCGGGUCGAUACAUACUGAUCUAUACCAGUAUACCAACACAUGGUAUGCUAGGGCAUCAUGACGGGGACUCGAGUGAUUUGCAUCGCAGUCGUCAGUCGUACCAGUCCAUACCACUCAUAACAUACUGAUUAGGGCGGUACAACAAACCUUGCUAGGGAAUAUCUUUACGUGGGUUUGAUCCCAUUACUUGAAAUUGAAAUACUUAGUCUAGAAUAUAAUGGUCCAAAUUCUUAGAUAUAGUGAAAGAUAUAAUAAAUUUUAGAGACAGAAUGGUAGUCUAAGCAUAAAAAAAGGAAAAAAUACUAUUAGGAGUCUUUAUCAUAAACCUUUUUGUGCAAAGCAUUUUACAGAUACAAGAUAGUAGAAGGCAGCCUAGCAUUGAAAGCUUCAAACAACUUCUAAGAACAAGCCAUAACAAAGUUGUACAAAGAAAAAAAAAACCUGUCUCUAGGCUAAACAUAUGAUUCUCUUGAAUUUGAAUUCCAAAUAUCACAUUCAAUCAAAUAAUCAGGGACCAGAUAUGGUGCCAAAAGGAAGUCAAAAUGAAAACCAUAAGCAAAGUCAAAAACAUUAUUCACAACUCCCUGACAAGAUUGUACAAGAUUCGAAAAUGGAAAAGGGCUUCUUGCCUAACAACCUUAAAAUCUGUUAAAUCUGCACAGUAUUGUUAUGGUUCUUCAUUUUCCGCACAUUAGUCCUGAAUCCCCAAACCGUAGAACAAAUAUGUAUAUUUGAAUAUAUUCAACUACAACAAUAUAGAAUAUUUUAAGAAUAUUACAACAAGAAGCUAUAGUUCCUAACAAGCAAGCAACAUUAGUCAAAGUAAAAGCCAUCUUCUAUAAUCUUCCAAAACCAUUAGUUCUAUUAAAUCACUUCAUCUCACUAGUGCAUAUAAUAAUCAUCUAGAUGUUUUUAUUCAAACUUAAACAGAUUUCCCUCAUUUAUUCUCAAUCAAAACCACCACUAAUUAUUACAAAAUAUAAAAUUUCCUAUUUUACAAAUACAUUUUUUCAGCUGAUAAAGAAGGACACAAAAGCAAGCCACAUUUUUUAUUUCCCACAAUACAACUCAACAAAGAUGGAAUGACUUUCCACCAUGAAAAUGCCUAAAACAAGUAGAACCAUAAAUUAAAAAAAUAAUAUGAUGGAUCAAUGCCUACAUGUAGGCAUACAGAGAUUGCAGCAGAAACAAGGUAAUGGUUAGGAAAGUUUGAUGAUGCAAGUGCAGAAGAUUACUCCAAAUAACAACUUUUUAUGACAUGAAAAUUCAAAUUGUGCUUUUAUGACAAACAAAUAGAUACUUAUAUACUACAGAGCACAAGAAGGUUAAAGAGAAUACUGAAGCAAUACCACAUACUUUGACAAGCAAAUUCAAUCGAUUUUGGGUGCAAAUUUGCAUCAAGAAUUAACAUUGGUGCAGAGCAUAUAUAGCUCUGAAAUUGCUUGAUGAAUUCUGGAGUCAGAAACUUUUCCUGUAAGAAAGACAUUAGGUUUUCAGAAAAUUACCUUGCCAUAAUGCAUUAUACUUAACAGAGAUUACUUAAGAAUCUAGAUUAACAGCAGUAAUCACACAGGGAAAACAAUGAUCAUAUUAUCUUACAACAGCCUCAACACUUGCAACAGCAGCUGCUAACUCUCCACUGGAAUCAAAUACAAUUGAAACAACAGGAGUUCUGAUACUCUUUGACUGCAGGAUUCCUAUAAUGAAUAAUUGUUAGUAGACAAUGAAGUAUACGGUAAAGAUAAAGACUUGUGCCAUUAAAGUCAAUCCAUAUCCCAUCCAGAGCAUAGGGUAAAUCGCAACUGAUGUUCAAUUGAGAUUAACAUAAAGAUACACUGGUGGAUAACAUAAUAUAUGUUAUAUUUGCACACAUCAAAAUUUAUCUCUUCACAAAUCAUGACAAACCAAGAACCCAUAAUCUCAUCAUCAUCAUUACAUGUAAAUUUUGGUGCUUCCAACAGAAGUUACCAUCUCAUAAAGCAUUAUAUUAUCAAUUAUUGUAGACCAAGGAGGCAAGGAUAGAACUGAAUAUACACCACGUACAUCAAAUUGUGCAAUAUUAACAUAUUUGUAAGGUGCCUACCACUGUCAGCUAUGUUGCUGUAAGUAGGGCUUUGGUCCCCCAUUAUGGUGUCUCUAUGUGUUCCUUCAUUUUACUCAUUUGUGGGUUCUUGCAUCAGAAACUUCUGCUCGUGUAGACAUCCCAAACAGUCAUGCAAGACUAUGCAAGUUAAACAACCAAGCCCAUUCAUGUAUCAUGACUAUUAUAGAAUCUUCAAAUUUCAAAUAAAUGUAACUUCAUAUUGCAUGGUUGUGUGUGUCAGUGGAGGUUAAUUAUAAGUAAGCAUGUAAAUUUGACUCCAGAUUCCUUCUUUUGCUGGUGGAAAGUGGAUAGAAAAAUGGUAGUUUCAUUUCAGUGUGACCUCAAAAUCAUCAUAGACAGAAAGAAAAUGGUAGUUUCAUUUGGAUCUGCAAAUCGAUAACACAUAAUGCUGAAGUAAUUACCUUCUGUAGAAAGUCCAGCAGAUUUCCAAUACCUCAGUAGCAUCUCUCCUAAGAAAAAAAAAAAGAUGUUGUAAAUAAAUGGUGACUAUUGCCAACACAAAUCACACAUAUAACAGGAAAAUAUAUCACCUGCCAUGUCAAAUCCAACAGCACUGAUCAUGAAAGGUCUAGUUCCAAGUUUUGACAUACAUUCAGCAAUAUUUCUUGCGACUCCUCCACUUACAUACUGAACCUGUUGAGGGGACUUAUGUAAACUAAGAAUAACCACCAAGAAAAAUCAUCACGUACACUUUACAAACUGUUAUGUACCAUGGUCCUUGAAGCUGCAAAUUCUGGACCAAAAGCCAAAGAAAUUUUUUUAAAGCUAAGUUGCCUAGGUUCCUGCUUAAGGUAGGACCAACAUCUUGGCACCUAGCCUGAAGCCUUGAAGCCAACAGUUAGGAAGAUGCCUAUGCUAGAAGACUUGCAGGCUGCUGGCUAUUUAGUUUAGAUCUCACAAAAUGUUCCUUUCUUCCCCUCUUUUUGCACCUUUUUUCCUUUUGUUGUUCAAUUGCGUAGUGGCUGUUGACUUGCUGUUAUGUAUAUUUUUUAUCUUACAGAAGGAGGAUAUAAGGAGCACUAUAGAAAGCUAUGUAUGUCCCAACCCCAACCCUCCCUCCCUUUACUCAUAGAAACUGCAAUACCACACAACACAAGACUAGAAUCACAAUUAUUCUCAAGCUUUUUAUCAAAUUGUAUAUCUUGUAUUACUAGGGAGGGAGAGAGGGAGAGAGAGAGAGAGAGAAGGAAAAAGCGAUGAAGAACUAUAGAUAGUAUUCAUUGACAAAUUCAAAAUGGUCAUGCCUCAAGAACUUACUGUGCUUUUAUUUAUAAACAUUAAUACUUUUUAUCCUAUUCCUAAAUAAAGUAGAAUUUAAUAAGGCUUACUUAUUGAGAAACGAAAAGUUAAACCAGAAUUCUCAUAAAAUCCAUCUGUUAUACGACUCUAAUUUCCUUAAUACAACUCUAAAUACAACAAAUAAAUGUCAUAUCAUGUAUUAUACGUAUACUGAGACUUAUGAACAGCCAAUUGCUUCUGAAAACAAGGACAAAAAACUUAGUCCAAGUAGCUAUAACUCCCUUUAGUAAAGAGUACUAGUUAAAACUUAGUUACCUUUUGACUUGAACUUUGACUUGGGAAUGGUGUCUUUUGAACUGAGAAAGGGAUCUUAUGAUUGCCCAAAUCAUUAAUGUAAAUCAAGUUAUCAUCAUAAAUACACUUCUUCACUUAAGUGGUCCCUCCUAAAUCUUCAAGAUGGUCUGACCAUGGUGGUUUGAGGUUGGAAUAGAUAAUAUACAACCCCAGAAUGAUCUGACCAUGUUAGAUAGGAUUUGCAUCUUAACAAAAUCAAUAGUCUUCUUCUUUCAGUCCUCUUAGUAUAUGAAAACAUUCAAAAUAUCUUCAUUCUUUCACUUUACAGCUUGCACCAAAAUGUUAACUACUCAAGUCUUACAAAAUAAAUCAUGAACAUAACUCCAUGACCAAGUUGAACACCACUGAACUAUUCCUAAUUGCAUCUCGCUUCAAAUCAGCCUUCACUGCAGCAAAUGUCAAAGUUUCCUUUGUUUUUAACACAUUCAGUUAAAUCUUUGUAUCAGUUUCACAUAUCUAUAAAAGAACAAAAUUAUAGUAAAAAAGACAAAGUGAUUCUAAAAAUGAACAAGAUUCGUUAGAUUGGAGUGAACAGCAAAGCCACGUAUGCUACAGUGCAAACCAUCUCAAGAAGACUAAUAAUUGUGAGGUAAGAAUGAUCAGUAAAAUCCGAACAUCCUGCAAGUCAAGCAUUUCAGCAAAAAUCUAGCAAACCUCCAACCUUGUUCAUUUCAAUCAAAGAGCUUUCUGCGAAAAGAAAAAUCUUUUCAUCCUAAAAUUGGACAAUAAGUACGAAAUACGAAGUACAUCGCAACAAAAUCACACUUAAAACAAUUUGCACAAGCAUCUGAUCUAAGAAUACACGAAACAAUACCUCCCCGGGCUUAGUGGUUCCGGGAACCGGAUCAGUGAAAGGCUUGGCGUGGAUGUCCAAAAUCAUCCCACCGAUUAUAACAGGCGAAGAGCCAACGGCGUUUGAUUCCGUCAAACUAACCGGAUUCUGAACCAACACGAAGAGAAGCAUCCGAGUGCAAGAAAAGAGCAAAGCUCAAAAACAGGACAUGUUAGGAAAAGGAGAUCAAUAACAAUAUUUCGAAGAAGAUUACGUACCAGAUGAAGGUCCCGGGAGAGGAUUCGGGGAGGGAGGAGAUGGCGACCGAUCGAUUCCAACCGCCUGCGCGCAGCACUCUCCAUUACCAGGCUGCGUUUGCGAGCCGCGGUGAUCCUUCGAGCGACUCGGAGAGACUACUUAGGACCUCGGAAGGAACGGAUUCGGAUUCGGAUUCGGAUUCGGAUUCGGGUUCCACCCGAUAGAUUCUACACCUCCCAAAUCCCUCUAGUUUUAAAUAUAUAUUAAAAGAAAAGAAAUUUUCUUGCUAUAUAUAUAUAUACAUAUAUAUAUAUAUAUGUAUAUAUGUAUAUAUGUAUAUAUAUAACAAAAAUAAAUGUGUAGUAAUUUUGAGAGGGAUAGAUUUGUUAGAGUUUAUGUCGAAUUUUCUUUUUCUAUCCCUUCAAAUGUGCGACAAAUAAUUUCUUAAUAUAAUUAUUGUUAACAUUUAAUGCAACUAUACGAUGUAUAGUUGUAGUGAUCAUAAAAAUAUGAAAUGUCCCAAUAUAAAUAUUGUCCUAAAAAAACUCAAAAGCAUAAAAAUGAUGAGUCACGCGUUUCGCACGUGAUAUGGAGCUCUUAACGGAUAACGCAGGAUAAGUUUGGGGAGUGGACUCUCCGUAGCGGAGGAGCGCCUGCUAAAGCGAUGGCCGCGUCUUCCUCGCUAUCCGCGACGCUCGCCCUCCCUCCUCUCUCCAAUCGCGCUUCCCUCUCUCCGAAGCCCAGAUGCCUCUCCUUCUCGCCCCAGUGCUCGAAUCCUCCCAUCUCCCUCCGCUCCCGCGUCCCCUCUUCGCCGCGCGCCCCCGCUGCCGCAGCGGAGGCUGUCGGGGCCGAGCAAACCCCAGAUGCAGCGGGGACUUCGAUCGGCUUCGAGGUACUGUAGAUUUCUGCCUUCUGGUGUCGUUGAAGCUCACUUGGUUGUGUUGUGUGUGCUUAUUAUUCCUUUCUUUUUGAAGGUUGAGGAUAAAUCUGCCGUGGCUCUCGAUGUCGAUGCGGAUGCCGAUAAGGUAGUCGAUUCUCGGCCUUUCUUUCCAUAUAAUUAAAGGUGUCAUCUUUCUUUCUCCCUCCUCUAUUUGGUGCUGCAUUUCUGCUGCGGCUUGUAAUUUCCGCGCAUGGCUGAUGACUAAGAAACCAAGAUAUCCACGAUACACUUUUGUAACCUAGAUUUUCUGGCGAUUUAACAGGAUUGAGCCUUACUCGUUCCCAUGUAUGGGAUGAUAAGGAUGCAUUUUAGAAAUGCAGCGUAUAGCACUUACUUUUUUCAACUGUGGAAGAAAAUGCUGCAACAUUGCACAGCAUUUUCCAGUAAUUGGCAUCACUCUCACAUUCAUGCAAUACGGCAUGAGGUAAACAACUUUGCAAUUUUCUAUGCCACCAAUGUUUUGAUGUGGAAAUACCGAAAUAUAAAAGUCAAUUUUCCAACAUGGGCAAACCCAUGCAGGAAAGGAGUUACUUUAACCUAUAAAAAUUAUCUGAUAAUGGGAAGAUCAGUCCUACUAGAUUAGAGUUUGAGCCCAUUUAUCUGGAGAAGAAUCCUUCAAUCGUCUUACGCUGAAAAGAGUGUUAAGAGCAAAGGUAAAAUGAAGUGUCAAUUUGCAGAACUAUUUUUAUUUGGAAGGCUCUUAUAAUUCAAAGCAGUCCAUUGGAGCGCAACCUUCAGUUGGAGUAAUGUAAAAAACCAUCAUGAAAGAAAACUACAUUACUAAGUCUCUUGAACUAGGAAGGAUAAUGUCUUGCAUGCCAAGUCCAUCGAUAUUAUGGUUUGUGGUGUCAUGCGUCAACUGUACUAAGUCCAAUUGGCAUGCACUGGAUCAAGUGAACAGGUAGAUUUGAUGUGUGCAUUAUGUGCAUUGGCGUGCAUGAUUGAUAAUAUAUGGAGGUAUUCACCUUUCCCCAUGCCAAUAUUUCUCUGUCAUGGUAUAAGGAAAAGUUUCAAUAUGAUAUGUCUACCACAUAUUGGAAUCUUACCAAACCGAUGAUGUCAGUUUUAUAUGUUUCAACUUGGCACAUAAGGAAAACAAGAAGUUACUUUUUGGAUCAUGAAUGAAGAUGAAUUGUGUGCAAGAUUUCUAGUACAAGAAUUUAAAAAAUAAGGUAGCAGUAUCACUUCAAGGUGUACAAAUAGCAAAAUUUGAUACCUGUAACUCAAACAAAUACUACCUUGAAGAUUCAACUGUAUGUCAGAAGAAGGUAGUAACAAGAAACAAUUAUCAAAAACAUUGUGAGAAGUUUUCAUUAAGUUGGUCUUUGGGGGCUUAUGAUGUUACACAAUGGAUUCUGAUCAUCUAAAGAAAGCAAAACCAUUCUGAACCUUGCUGGUGCACUAGUAUCUGAAACAUCAGCACAUUUAGGUUUGAGUUUGCUGCGAAUGUGGAUAGUGAAGGUCAAUUUUGUGUGAUAAUUAGAGAAAACCAAGACUUGCGACCUGUAAUGCAGUUUUUCUCAAGGCAGAAGCAUGAAGUUCACAUCACAGUCAGAGACAGUAAUGGGGGAAUUUUGGUUCUAUAUGCUUUUAAGUUUAAUGAUAUUUCAAAUUUUUUUAUAGUUUUGGUCAUUUUGACUUGGUGAGAGAUAUUUAUGACUAUCUAGGAAGGAUUUUAAUGGAAAGAAUGAAAAAGGAUCAAUUGAUCUGAUGGACAAGAUGGCUAGAUCCAUCCAUCAUGUGACUGAACAAAGUAUGAUAGAUCAUCUAAAACACCAAUAUGUGUUGCUGCAUGUUUUUCAGCUGACAAAAACUAAAGGAUCUUGGCAGUUCAUGGUUCAGAGUAUGAUGUGCCACCCAAAGAUAACUUUGAACUUGAUGAGGUCAUUAUCAACCAUAAGGUGCACAUCAUAGAGGUCACCAACCACAGACUCUUCACAUCAAAUUUCAUGCAGCUAGAAUAUUGAUAGAGUUCAUUAAAUCUAAUAUUGAUAGAGUUCAUUAAAUCUAAUCAAGAGGAGGAUGUGGAGACCACACUCACCAUUAGACUAGUAAAUGUUUGUGCGUCUUUCUACGCUGAAUUUUAUGGGAAUUGGAAUGUUUGGGAUCAGUGGAUAAGUAUUUAACUAGUACUUGUCCAAGUUUAUAAAGUUAUUACAUUAGGUAUUAGAUAAUAUAUCAUAUUUCAGUGACUAGAAGUCGCUUUUCUUUUUGCUACAGAAAAUAUUGGCAAAACAUCUUAAUAUGAUUUUUCCAACAUUUAUCAUAAGAUGUUUUGAUGGAUUUUUCUUUUAUUUACUAGCUGAUAGCACUAAGCAUUUAGGUUUUCUAUCAUGUCAUGGGAUCUUGAAUUUUUCUGCUGCUGGCCCAUGACACAUCUCCUUUGGCUUCUCAUGCAAUUGCUAAAAUGCAAUACAUGUUGUUGAGGAAAAAUAUUGUUUUUUUCCUUGUGUCUUCUCUAUGGCUUUCAGACAGUUUUCAAGUUCUUGAUAUAUUCCACCUGGAGUUUGUGGUAAGGUAAACCAGACAUAAAUUUAUUUACCUGUACAGGAACAAGCUCAUCUCCUGUUGAUGUACCCAUCUUUUUUUGUCAUGAAUUGGAGUAGACUUAUUGGACAACAGCAUUUAGUUUUGAGUUUCAUCUCCAUCUAACUGUGCAAUAGUUUUAAAAAAUAACAAGUUCAAUACUUUGUUAUGGAGAUUGUUUCUAGAAACUUGCAUAUUGAAUAUUUUGUGAGCUACUAAUGCUUCUCAAUUGCUGACUGUUGACUACUACUAUUCAGUUAGUUCCUAUGCUAUAUAAAUAAGCAUUUGGACUUAUACGUGUAUAUGUGGAAAAUCAUAUAUUCCUCAAUUCCCUUUUUGUUUGGUAUUUGGUUUAUUGUGGAUGAUAAUCACUUGAAUGAAAGUUUACGUAUCUAUGGCAAAUAUAUUAAAGAGUAUGGCCUUUUGAAGGUAUGAGAAAGCAGCGAAGCCAAGUGAAUGUGAUAGAUGAGUAUUCUUUAGAUAAUAUCAGCUUGGCAUAAUUGCAACAUAGCUGAGGUAAUUUUAGUGUUUUGUUUCCCCUUGAUAGAUCAAAAUGUCUUGAAAUCUUCUGCUGUAUGAUUCCGUCUGUCCCUAUUCUUAGUGAUGACUACCUGGCUAGUAGAGAUCUGUGGUUACCUUCAACAUUUCACUUAGUUGUUUAAAAGUGCAUUAUGCCAUCUCAGCCAUCAUUUGUUUAAGAAGUUGAUUGCAUUUUGGCUCAAACUGCUGCGCCAAACAUGUUUUGAAAAUUUGAUGGUUGCAAUAAGACACUUGGGCCACCUUUUCUUCAUCAAAUUUAGAAACAUGGUUUGGGGAUGUUUAUCAGGAUCAAAUUGACACUCGGGCCAUCUUUUCUUUAUUAGAAUCAAAUCGACAUUUUAUGGAAAACAUGUAAAGAACAUUAUACCUUCACAACCAUCAUUUGUUUUAAAAAGCUGGUUGCGUUUUGGCUCAAACUGCAAACUGCUGGGCUGAACAUGAUCUUUUCAAAAGUUGAUGGUUACAAUGAGACACUCGGGCCACCUUGUCUCAUCAAAAUUUAGGAACUACAGACCGGGGAUGUUUGAAGUUUUAAAGUUUCAGAAUGAGAACUUAUUGUUAUCCUAAAAUGCUCCUUUUGGCUAACUAUUUCUCAGUACAGAAUUCUCAUCUACUUGUGUCACCAGAUGGCGCCGAAGCAGAAAAUAAGAAUCAAGCUGAGGUCCUACUGGGUGUCGUUGAUGGAGGACUCAUGCAAGCAGAUCCUGGAAGCUGCUAGAACAACCAACGCCAAGACCAUGGGUCCUGUUCCCCUUCCCACAAAGAGGAGAGUUUAUUGUGUCCUCAAGUCACCCCAUGUUCACAAGGAUUCCCGUUUCCAUUUCGAGAUUCGGACUCACCAGCGGCUAAUCGAUAUCUUGUAUCCGACCGCCCAAACGAUCGACUCGCUAAUGCAGCUUGACCUUCCAGCCGGUGUGGAUGUGGAGGUCAAGCUAUGAUCCGAUCUGGAGUGACUCUUUCUUUCAUCAGUUGUAGUUUCUUUUCUGUGCUAUUAUAUUUCUUGUACUUCUUGAUACCCACAACCGAAGAUUAACAGGAAAGAUUAUAUCAGUUGAUUAUUUUUGGAUUCAAAAUUCAGUGGAUUAAAUGUCUUUCGAUAAAUUAUAGUGUCGUUGUGAGUAGAUCUUUUCAAAACGCCUAGCAACUAUCUAAUUCUUCUCCAGCAGCCCAACGGAGGAGAUGUCUCCCUCCGAGUCUACAAUCAGUGAAACUUUUUGUGCAGGAUGGUGUGGCAAACCACUUUGGAUAUGUACGUCGUACCUCUCCGAGGUGCCCCCCUCAGUCACCGGGAAUACUGUGACUUGGCUUAGAGCUGUUGUCGAGGUUGAUCAGCUUCUCACUCUCCAUUAGCAUAUUCUCAAAAGCAUCAAGAGAAACAAUAACUAUGAUCACAAGGCAAACAAUGUAGGUUAUGCAAAUAAUUUUUUUACAUAAAAAAAGGUUAAUUGAAGGGAAAAAAACAUCAUCAUAGAUAGUCGGCACAUACUAUAUCAGAUCAAAACACAAGAGAAAAAAAAUAGAAAUUUGAAUAGAAUAAACAAUUGCUAUCGGGCAUGCAAACUAUAUCAUGAUUGUGUAGAGUUACAUCACUGGAUUUGAACUUUAUGUUACGGCACAUCGCAGGAUUAAAAGCCUCAAAAUUCUACGACGAACACAGCUUAAUUAUUAGGAAAAUUAUAGACUAUACAGAAAAUAAAUACAAGUAAAAAACUUUGCAUCUUUGUAACAACUAAAGGUGCCCAUGUGUACUUAUAUUUUUUUCUUAAAAUAAUCAAAUUUACUUACAGAAAUCACAUACAAGGGGUCAAAAAGAAAAAAUAUACAUCAAGAAUUUAUGCAAGUUAGACACGAUGCACGGAAGCAAACUUUAUUACUAAUACCCAACAUCAAAGUUAAAAGGUGGACAUACUUUUGGACUUUGAAACAACACAUAAGCUAGGCAAAAGAUAACAAUUGCAAGUGAGCUUUAAACCAUAAUCUCAGAAGAUGCAGAUCAAAUCUUAGUGUGAAAUGAAUCGCUCAACGUUCGGCGUACUCAUGGACCUGAAAAUAUGUUCAUCAGAGGCACGGAUACGAAUUAACCUAUCUUGUAUGGCCAGAAAAGAUGGAACUGCAUAGGCUUCAGAGACUCGCUCUCGAUGCAAAGGAUCUUCUGCAAAAUUAAGUAGACAUUCCGCUGCAUAUUCCCUGACCUCCUCCGGAUCACCUCUCAAAAGGUCAAUAAGAACAGGAAUGGCACCAGCUUCCACAAUAGCUUCCCUGUUUGCUGCAUCAUAACUUAAUUGUGCAAUAGCACCAGAUGCUUUCUCUCUAAGAUUGCCAUCCAUGUUACGCAGGAGAUCUACCAAAACUGGAAUUGCACCUGAUUCUCUGACAACAGAGAUGGAAUGCCUGUACCCCGCUAGAUCCCAUACAAUAUCUAAAGCUGCACCUUUUGCGUCGUCAGCAUCACCCUCAAGAACCCUCACCAUCUCCUCUGUUAUCAUGACACCAUUCUCCUCUUCCACGGCUAAUACACAAAAAGCAUCUUCGGCAAUUUCUUUCCCAAGGGGUUCAGGUCCUUUGAGCAGUUCCACAAACAAUGGGAUUGCACCGGCUUGGGCUACUGGCCUAAGGUAGUCAACAUGAGAGGAGAUUAUACCAAGAGCAUUUCCCGCAACUAGCCUAUAAGAGGAAUCAGCCUCCUUUAGAAAACCAAUGAGCGCCGGAAUGACCCCCAAAUCAACAAGUUUCUGCCGGACUCUCCUCGAAAUCGCGAGCACCCCAAUGGUUUGGGCAGCUCGUGCUCUCGAUAUCAUUUUACCAUUUGAUAAAGCUUCGACAAGAAACCUGAGGACAUCAAAGCCCGUUAAUACUCGUCUCACUUCUCUCAACAAAGCCAAGGCAGUGAGAAUCUCCAAUAAGUACCGCCUUGUAUCAUCAGUGCAUCUAGACAACAAAUCUAGUGUGAUAUCCAGACCACCAUUUGCUGCUAGAAUCAACCUACUGGGACCAUCAAAAGAUACCAAAGUCCGAAGGCACUUAAGCAAUGUUCUCCUCAGCCCUUCUUUAGACGUUGGAAGUAGCCUAAGAAGUAAAGAGAUUGCUUCCAAUUGGCAAAUCAUGGGGCAUAAGCGACCAUCAUGCUUGUGGGCGAUGCAGCUUAAAGCAUACACAGCUGCUUCUUGCAUCCGUGAUGUGGAAGAUAGGAGGUCUACAAGAACGGGAAUGGUGCUUGCCAAGAUGGCCUCCGGUGCGUCCUUCGACAAACGGGCAAGCUGAAUAGUGGCUUUGAUCUGCAAAUCUUCACUCUCACAGGCAAUCACAUUCAUGUAAACAUGAACAGCUUGGUCCCAGUCGAUGCCUGCAUCGUUUCCGAUCAUCUGCGCCCAACCCAUCCCACCGAACACCAAUCAAUGACAAAGCUGGAAGAUUUUUCCGCUGAAAUGAAGAUUUCAGACAAUUAGCAAUGCAAAUUUACCGGUAUACGAACAAACGAACGAGUUUUUCCUCAGAAGCCGCGAGAGAAUUCUAGGGUUUGGACGAGGAAGAUGAUUCAAUCACCGACGCUACAUCGAAAAAGAUCAAAUUUCCGAUUUGAAUACCUAAGAUAGCGAUUAUCAGGGACGAAUUAUCAGCACACCGUCAUAAAGAUCCAAAUUUCUUUCAACCAAAGCCGAUCUUUCACUCACCUCUGGAUUCUAGGGUUAAUGCUCCUUUCUUCGGAGGGAGAGCCGACUCCGAACCGGCCUCCAAAAACUUAGCGACGACGGGGCGAGAGCGAUUCGUCCUCGAUACAAAUGGUAGAGCCGAACUCGACGAGCAUAUCUCGCGCUCCUCUGCCCUCGACACGCGAAACGUAAGGAAGCGAUUGAGAUAUCGAAGAGAGAAGCAGCGCGGCUCUGGCGAUCCUCAUUGGGCUUACGAUCUGCCAAGAACGGUUCGGACCGGACCGGACCGGAUCAGACCGUGGCGGCCCAUAGACAGCGGAUUAGAAUGCCACCACGGGUCAAUUAAGUCAAUUAACAUUCAAAUUAUGAGCAUGUGCAUAAUCUACAUUGGAGGUGGGUUAGCAUUCACCCAAUCCAAAACACGGUCAACUCAAGUUGGUCAACUCUUCUAAUCAUCAUAAAUUGGUGAUGUCCUCCGUAUCGUAAGAGUCACAAAAUUAUCGUACUCUUUUGUACUUAUCUAUUAACAUUAUCUUACUUAAGUUUCUCAUCAUCAUGUCUAAUACCAAAUUAUAUUUAUAUAUAUAUAAUCUUAUGAUUAUACAUAAAAUCUUGUGAUUGAAUUUGUUAUACUAUAUAAUCAUUUUUAUAAUUAGUAAGAUGACAAUGGUCGAUGAACAAAUACCAAAUAAAAAACGAGAGGGAGAGAGGAAACGAUGGAACGUACAUUUGACCAAUAUUUUUCUUCGAGCAAAUCCAUAAUGUCUAAUAAAUACAUUAUGGAUUUAAAUAUCAUCAAAUUAUCAUAUUGAUUUAUACUAAAAACUAAUAAAAAUAGAUAUUACGUUCGAAAUUAUUAUUAUUAUUAUAUAUAUAUAUAUAUAUAUAUAUAUAUAUAUAUAUAUAUAUAUUACAUGAAUGCUUUGCAUAACUUAUAAGGCGGUCCACGAAAAAGCGCAGAUCAAAUUGAUAUUAAUUAUCAGGGUCUAUCGUAUCAAGUCGUACCGCCCGUCGAUACGUAUCGGUCGAAUAGGUUGUCGGUAUGCAGACCGACUGUUACCAGUCCGAGUGCACUGUAGUAGUGCUACAGUACUCGAUACAUCUGUGCCGCUCGGUAUAUCGUACUGUACCGGUACCGAGCCCAAAUCGAAAUACCGGUACGGUACAGUAUUACGAACCUUGUUAAUUAUAAUUAGAAAUAAACAUCAACAUAUAUCAUUUUCGAACCGAAUAUUGAUAUUAAGUAUAAUUUCAAUAUCGAUCACUUCGAUGAUCACUGAGAAUUCAUAUAAUAUUAGGAAAAAAAUGGAAAACAUAAUAGAUAUUGUUUAGAUUUUUCUGCAUAUCUAUAAAGCGACAGCCGUCGACGACCGGUCCAACAUGUGCGUGUCCAUUGGGUCACCGUUUCUUGCAACGAGGUUGGUUUUCCGGGAGUUCCACGGAUAAUUCUACCGUCUCUCUUAUCCUUCUUCCUUCCUUCCUUCCUUCCGAACCUUUGCUGGAAGUAAUCGACCGCGAAUCUCGAAUCAUCCAUGGCUGGAUUUGUGGGAAUGGGUCGGUGGAGCUGUGAGUUGUUUACGGUGUUUGUUUUGGAAAUUAUUGGUUUCUUAUUGUGCUGCAAAAUAAUAUUUCCAAUUUUGAUGGGGGGUUUUUGUUACUUUAGAUUAUUUCUUUCACCUAAACUAGGGUUUGGGCAGGUAGCAAACUCUUUGGUGUCUCAGUUGCUUCCAUUUGUCUUCCUUUGUGCUUUGUUUGGGUUUUUUAGGGCUGGGUUUUGAUCUCAAAUUGGGAUAUCCUGAUUGAUAAUCUGGAAUCAGCACUUACAAAUUUAUGAAAAUAUGUAUGUUAUUUUGCUAUGAUUUGUAGUGGUAGGAUGCAUCAAAUAUGUCUUGAUAUUCCUGGUUACUACAAAACUAUGUCUAAUCGUGCAAGAUAAAACACAGCUAAAGUCCUUUUCUUUGAGAUUUAGGCAAUUAUAGAUAUCAGCAAACAAGUUUACGAUAUUUGUCCAUUGUUAUGCUUCCAGAGACGAUUUGUGAUUGCAGCAAUCUAGUACGAGUUAUGUGUUAGAUUUUUUUUGUUCUUUGUAGAAUUAUUGUUACAUGAAAGGAAGAAACAUGAUUUUGGAAGGUAAACUGCUUCACCUGUAAGCUAGUUAUGUAAUUUGGGAGUAUAAUGCCUCUAAAAUUUGUCGUAUGCUUGUCUAUUGCUGAUUCUUCUGUGAAAUUUUUCUUGAUUAAUGUUCUCAUGUACCACUUCUCUAUUUCUUUUUUCCUUGGACAUGUCUUGUAUGUGUGCUACUAAUUUGUUUGUGAGCAGUCUAUGUUAUUAGUUGGAGUUCUGUUGAUUUUUUUAUCCUAUUUUUUCUCUUGGCCAUAUACGAUGUUGACAAUCAUAAUUCUCUGUCCGCUUAAUUCAGAUAAAUUAUUUGAAUGAUCCUUCGGUCGGUGUGAUUUAUUUGCUGGACUCUCGAUGGAGCCGAUAGUGGGUUAUACUUCAACGCAUGCAUCCCAAAGUACAUAAUCUUUGACAGACACCGGCAGUCAUUAUAUCAUUAAAAUCCAUGAAUGCUAACGAAGGUGAUUCCCAUUUUAUGCCUCAAAACCAUCAAUCUUCAGAUUAUGUUUCUUCUGAUGAUGGAUUCCAGCAAAGGCAUGUUCAACCUCAGACAAGUCAUGUGCCAUUCUGCACUCUAGAGUCCUCGUUGGCAACUGCUAAUUGUACCACACACAACCCUCCGUCUUCUCUCAGUUUCUCACCUAUCAGUGGAUCCUCUAUGUCCCAGCAGGAUUCCGUAUCCGAUAAUGCCAAUGGAUCUCCAGUUAGUGCGACUAUUGAAGACCCAAGUGAUCUGAAGAACAGGUUAAGGGAGAUAGAAGCUGCAAUGCUGGGGCCUGAUUUGGAUACGAUUGGGAACUCUGAUAACGGCUAUCCGGGCGAUCUGUCACUCGAGCCAGAGAAGUGGAGAGGAGUGAUGGAAACUCCCAGAGGAGACUUGAAACAAUUUCUCAUAGCCUGUGCUAGAGCUGUUGCAGAGAAUGAUCUGAUUGCUGUUGAAUGGCUGAUUUCGGAGUUGAGGCAGAUGGUUUCAGUUUCAGGGGAACCAAUUCAACGGCUAGGGGCAUACUUGCUUGAAGGCCUAAUAGCUAGGCUGGCUUCCUCUGGUAGUUCCAUCUACAAAGCUUUGAAGUGUAAAGAACCUGUGAGUUCUGACCUCCUCAGCUACAUGCAUAUCCUUUAUGAGGUCUGCCCAUACUUCAAGUUUGGCUACUUGUCUGCAAACGGGGCAAUUGUUGAGGCUGUCAAGGGUGAAAACAUGGUUCACAUCAUCGAUUUCCAGAUCACGCAGGGAAGCCAAUGGGUGACCCUCAUUCAAGCCCUUGCAGCAAUGCCUGGUGGUCCGCCGCGCAUAAGAAUAACCGGUAUCGAUGAUAAUGUUUCUGCUUAUGCACGGGGUGGUGGUCUACACAUUGUCGGACAGAGAUUAUCUCGACUCGCUGAAUCUUGCAACGUGCCUUUUGAAUUCCACAGUGUGGCGAUGUCAAGCUGUGAUGUGGAGCUCGAGCAUCUUGACAUUCAGCCAGGGGAGGCAUUGGCAAUAAACUUCAAUUUGCAUCUGCAUCACAUGCCAGACGAAAGUGUGAGCACGAGGAACCACCGAGACAGGCUGUUGCGGAUGAUCAAGAGUGUUUCUCCAAAGGUAGUGACACUCGUGGAACAUGAAGCCAACACAAACACAGCUCCAUUUUUUCCGAGAUUUCUGGAGACUCUAGACUACUAUACUGCCAUUUUUGAUUCGAUCGAUGUGUGUCUUCCAAGGGAGAACAAAGAGAGAAUCAGCGUAGAGCAGCACUGCCUUGCAAGGGACAUUGUUAAUAUUAUUGCUUGCGAGGGUGCUGAAAGAGUGGAGAGGUAUGAGCUUUUCGGCAAAUGGAAUUCUCGGUUUACGAUGGCUGGAUUCAGACCAUACCAUCUUAGUCCAUUGGUAAAUGCAACCAUCAAGACACUGUUACAGAACUACUCGGAACACUAUCGACUUGAAGAGCGAGAUGGCAUACUUUAUCUCGGAUGGAAGAAUCGACCGCUCGUUGUCUCGUGCGCCUGGAGAUGAACUGAGGGAUCUGACAAGCUAAACGAUAAAUCUUUGAUCCGUUGCUAUUGGUGUAACUCUGAGGAGUUUUGUGUUAUGACCUGGUCAUUAGUUGUAACAUUAAAAUUGCAGUUAGAAAGAAAGAGAUUAAAAUCUCCACAACAUUGUGUGAUUUGAAAUUUUUCUUAUGUCCAUCUUCCUUUUAUAUGUACAUAUACGAUAUGACAUGCCGGACAAUUAAGAUCUAUUUCAAUACAUGUAUUUGAAUAUUUGUGCCGUAUGUUCUUGUUUAUUUUGGUUUUUUUCCGUAAACAAAGAUGUUUUGACAAUAUAAUAAAAUUUUGAUAAUAGAUCUAUAACAUAAAUCUACUAUCAAAUUUGAUACUAGCAAUUUUAUAACGUAUGUACGUAUAUUGAAGUAAGCAAGUGGGUGUCGACAGUAUAAUUUUUGCUAAACACACCAACCGAUCAUGUUUAAUUAAAGGUUGACAUGCUUUUGAGAUCCGAAAUCUAGUCCAUUAAAAAUGGUUGGAUCCUGAGCUCCCAAAUACAAACCUAACCCAUUAAUUUGAAGGAUCCGCUUGUCCACGGCGCAUUGCAUUGGGAUUGUGUGGGGGAAUUGACGCCGAUGGGCGCAAUAACACCCGUUGUUAUCACACUCAUUAGCCCGAGGAUGACACAACCACUUCCAACGCCACAUAUGAUAAUUGAUGCCACUCUACCUUUGAUCACAUCACUCGACAAGCAUUUUUAACAACCUUCUUCACACAUCCUUUCCUUUUUAAUGAUUCCUUAUUUAUGCCUCUACAUAAAAUUAUUCAUGUAAGUAACAUAAUGCUAAUCUGUGUUAGCUAAUGAUUAUUUUAAUAAAAAAAUCAUAUCGACUAUAUAUAUAUAUACAUAUACGUGUAUGUAUAAAAAUUCUUAACAGUUGGAGAAAAUGUAUGUGAUAUUAAAAUUCAUAAAGAGAAUUACACUAUUUUCAAAAUUAUACGAAUAAAUAUGUAAAAUCCACACUAAAAAAAUUUGCGCAUCUCAUCUCAUCAAUGCUAUUAGUUAACUAUUAGCCAGCUAAUGAUAUUUUUUUAAUCAUUUCCAUUAUAUGAACAUUAGGAGUAUUUUAGAUAUCUAUUUAUAUUCCUAACAUGAACUAGCUAAUGUUGAUUUUAUUAUAACUAGGAAUAGUUUAUAUAUAUAUAUAUAUAUAUAUAUAUAUAUAUAUAUAUAUAUAUAUAUAUAUAUAUAUAUAUAUAUAUAUAAUAAUAAUAAUAAUAAUAAUAAUAAUAAUAACUCAAAAGAUAAAGAAAUAUCGUUAAUUUCUUUAUGCUCAUUGAAGUAUCAUUUGUACAAAUAAGAAUCCUCUUCUGAUCUCUUCUUUAGAUAGAUAUAGGAUCUACAGGACAAUUACUUAAAAAUAUAUUUUGUGCAAUAGCCCUUCCUAUCCGAUAGAAAAGGAUCCUAUGAUCCUGAAUCGAUUUGGGAUCGCAAAUCCCAAGUUUGUCUAUGAAGAGCUAAUCUAAUUGUAUUAGUUUCUAUAAUUGAUUUGUGUGCGUAAAAAUUCUUAGUAUUUAAAGAGAGAUAUAUAUGAUAUUAAAAUCUAAAAAAUACAAAUACACUAUUUUUGAAACUUAUAAGAAGCAUAUCAAUUAAUGCUAUCAUCAUUGUAUCCACAAACAUCCCUAACAGCAAGUAUGUCUGGUCAAUGUGAACAUGAGAGUUGUUAAGUAGAAUGAUUAAGUUUCAGAUUGUGUAUAAUGUGUGAUGAUGAUGACUCCUGAAAUUGAUGUUUGGGGCUCUCAUAUUCCAUCUCAAAUCCUUUCUAAUUCACUUAUCAUCUUAAAAAAAAACAUAAAGAUUGUAAACCAUUUCAAACGAAAUCCAUGAAUUCGACAAUCUUAUCUUGGCAGAAUCUUAAAUAUCCCCACUCAACUGUGAUGAUGUAACAUCAUGACACCCUCUUUGGCUGCCAGCAAAAUGAAAAGGAAGCUUCAACACCUAAAGAGAGAAGAAAAAGUAAAAGCUAUAGCUAAAGCUUUUCUUUGUGUUGUCGAGUAGGAAUUUGUGAUUCAGAAAGCUGCAAGGAAGUGACAGAAUGCUAUUAGAAAAGUGAGUUCAUUGUUGUGCUACAGAUAGCCAACCAUCAUCGAAAGAGAAAAGAUAUGAUUAGCAUUAAAAUACAUUUUUAAUGUCGACUAUAUCACCAUCAAAAUGAUCCAUUAAUUACUUUAUAAGAUUAUAUAAUUCAAGUAAUAAAUAAAUAAAUAAAUAAAUCAACCGGUGUCUUCUUCCAUGUUGAGCUCCACAUCCGUGAGGAAGCCUAUCUUGUCUUAUUGGUCGGCGGGGGGACAAAGGCGAAGACGCCGGGAGUCCGUAUUGUAUCUCUCAGGAUGUUGACCAAACCCAAGCAUCGCGGCAGCAUCCUUGCAGUCAAAGCUGCUUGUGCUGAGUCAAACCCCCGUGAGAUUGACGUGGGUUGGAUCAACCACUCCGAGGAUUCUUAUUGUCCUCCUAUUUUUAUUUUCUUGUAAAUUAUUUUUACAGAUAUUCUAUUUUAAUUAAUGAUGAUAUUAUAUUAUUUAUCUCAUGAUCAUAUCUACAAUUAUAUAUAUAUACAUAUCAUUGGUUGAAUUAAUGGGUCAAUUUGUUACGUGCAAAGCAUAUUCAUUUUAAUAAUGCAGUGAAAGAGAAUAUUUUUAUCUUUAUGUGCUUUUUUUUAUUCCUUAUCAAUAUCAGUUCAUACUUACUUUCAUGAUAUUUGUUGACAUAUUCACACCAACUUUUCUAAAGACAAAGAAUAGAACAGAAGGAAAGAUUAAACAAAAAUAAUAAAUCAACAAUAAAUAAAAGACGAAGGAGGUUCUUUUUCAAAAGACAAAGAAGAAAACGAUAGGAAAGACUAAGAUAAAAACAAUAGACCAACGAUAAAUAAGAGACAAAGGAGAUUCUUUUUCGAGAGACAAAGAAGAAAAUGAGAGGAAAGACGAAAACAAAAAUAUUAGACGAACGAUAAAUAAGAGACAAAGACGAUUGUGAUGAAAUUUAUUGUAAUCUUAAUUUUUAAAAAUUUAAAAACGUUUUAUAAGAAUAAAAUAAA